MUACGUGCCAGCAGCCGCGGUAAUACGGAAGGUCCAGGCGUUAUCCGGAUUUAUUGGGUUUAAAGGGAGCGUAGGCGGAUUGUUAAGUCAGCGGUUAAAGGGUGUGGCUCAACCAUGCAUUGCCGUUGAAACUGGCGAUCUUGAGUGCAGACAGGGAUGCCGGAAUUCGUGGUGUAGCGGUGAAAUGCUUAGAUAUCACGAAGAACUCCGAUCGCGAAGGCAGGUGUCCGGGCUGCAACUGACGCUGAGGCUCGAAAGUGUGGGUAUCAAACAGGAUUAGAUACCCUGGUAGUCCACACAGUAAACGAUGUAUACUCGCGGUUUGCGAUAGACAGUAAGCCGCCAAGCGAAAGCAUUAAGUAUACCACCUGGGGAGUACGCCGGCAACGGUGAAACUCAAAGGAAUUGACGGGGGCCCGCACAAGCGGAGGAACAUGUGGUUUAAUUCGAUGAUACGCGAGGAACCUUACCCGGGCUUGAAC
rnacentral:rRNA from 1 species